rnacentral:lncRNA from 1 species
CCUAAGCAUAAAAAACUACAACUUGAAAUCCAAUGAAAUUUUCACAUUGUUAAGAACAAAGGAACUAUAGUAUUUGCACCUACUGGACGUUUCAGUGCAAGUCUGCGGAGUGUCACUAUAUCUCCAUGAUUGGAUGUUUAAAGUCAGUUUAUAGAAUAUUUUAUCCUCAAAUGAUGACGGAAGGGUUCGUGUUAUUUAUUCUUUAGUUUUCUAUGUUGUGUCAUGUGUACUAUUGUUUGUCUGCUUGUCCUUUUCAUUUUUAGCCAUGGCGUUGUCAGUUUAUUUUCGAUUUAUGGGUUUGACUGUCCCUCUGGUAUCUUUCGUCCCUCUUUUCCAAUUGCUGUUAUCAUAAUCCCGUACUCUAGAUCUCUUCCUUGAAUGUGAUAGCCGAAUUAGACUUAUUAUUAAAAGGAAUGUAUUUACAUGACCGACACGACGGGAGGCACAUGUUUAUCAGGACCUAUCAUCCCUCUGUUGUAGUACCUGAUAUUCUAAGCGGAUUGUAGUAGGGUUGUGUUGCUCAGUCUUUAAUUCUUCAUAUUGUGUUUUGGAAAAUAAUGUGUCCUUUUGUCUUUUUUGUUCUUUUUGUCAUUGCAUCGUCGGUUUGUUUUGGACUUAUGAAUUUGAAUAUCCCUUUGGUACCUCCCGCUUCUCUUUUAAAAAAAUUAUCAAUUGUAAUCCUUAUAAUACAUACAUUUUGCAAAUGUGUCCGAAACUACAUGCAAUAAGUAACCGUAGGGCCAACAAAACCUAAACCACAAAACAAACUAUAAUAAAAGACAACCACAUAAAAUAAAAUCCAAACAAAAAAAAAUGGCCAAAUGUGUGUACAAAACAUUAAAUAUAAAUCCAAGAAUCAUACUAGUACAUUAUAAUUAAAGACAUCAGCUGUAUUACAGACUUCAUUGUUUCAACAGGCUCGUGUAAAGCGUGGAGAUAUUUUACUCACACAAUCCAGUCCUUAACUUAUUGUCACAGUCGUAUACAUUUCAAAUUUCUAAGGAGUUGAAAAUUAAAAUCACAAAAAUACUGAACUCCGAGGAAAAUUCAAAACAGAA